CCCAACAGGCAAACGAGAACGAACACAACCUGCAGCCACUCGAGCCAUCUCAGUAAUGAGAGAAUGCCAACUGCCUCUUCAUCCAUCAGCCAGUGUCUUCCGAGUAUUUCGAGAAGGUAAAGUCCCUUUCUUUCACCACUCACGCAGCGAGGCCUGAGCAUUCGACAAGUGCAAGCAACGGAGGGCGAGAAUUAUGGGUUCAGGGCCCGACCGUGACCUCUCGACAUGUGCCUUCCGAGUGUGGGUCAUGUCUCAUAGAUUCCUGCCACAGAUGUGAGGCACAAAGCAGCAAUUCAAAUGCCCUAUCGAUCACUGGAGCUAGUCUCAGUGAAGGGGUCAAGUGUGCAGGAGGUGGAGCUCGAGAACCGAGGAUGAGGAGGACCACCACUGGCUGCCCGGGGCCGUGAGAGACGAGAAAGCAUCCGGUCGAUCCAUCCACGACAGGGGGGGAGGAGGGGUCAUGUGAUGCAUGUACGAGCGGCUCCCGACAACGGCGCAGGUUGCCUGACAUGGUGACCCCGAAAGAUCCGUAUCACACAGAAGGAAUUCUAAGGACGGCUUCUUAGAUGAUGAUCUCAAGAGAGAGACAGAGAAAGAGACAGAGACAGAGACCAAAACAAAGCAACGAUCUUAAUCCUCAGCUUGGUACUUGUGAAUGUGGGAGUGUGCAGUUUGCAGAGAAGGUUUGAAUGUUCACUAGGUAAGCAUGUCCUUUUGGGCUAAGGGUAAUUGGAUUAAGCCCUGACAUUGUUGGUUGGAUGCAUGGCCAUCAACCUUGAGCCAGCCAAGCUCACACGAGGAUGAUGAUGAUGACAUGGGCAACACACCCUUUUCAAGAAUUCAAAACUGCACAAACUCCUGUAUCUAAACAGUCACCUUAAACUAAUCUAAACAGUCCAUCUCAACUUAAACGACUAUAAGCCUCGUGGUUCGAGCUUAGAGAGUAAAGAAAGGGUGAUCAGAGUGAGGGAAGAAGGACAAGUGAUGUACUUCCAAAGGGAAGUCUAAAUGAGCAGCAAAAUGGGUAACCUUCCAAAGACUUGUUGAUUGAUGUUUAUGAAUGAGUAGGUGAUCGAUCGUGUUCAUCCACUGCAGCAGAUUUGACUUCUUUUCCGAAGCGCAAGCUUUUCUCCACCUUGGAAUCGCACUGAAGUGACAAUAGAGGACGAGUGCUACAGCAAAUACGAUCGUUCAUGAACUGAUCCAUACGAUCUUCGAUCUUCUUCGGCUUGGGUUGCGAGAAAAUAUACGUGUAUCACCGGUGCAUGUUCACGUGGAAGAUUCCAGGGUACGAGGAGACUCUGGAGCGACACCAUGAACGUGAUUCCUCCAUGGACACCAAGUACAGGCCGAGAUCAGAUGACACCCAUGAGUUUGACCGGACGGUGCGACCGAGCCCGUGCUGCCGUCUUCUCCAUGGACGCCGAGGCGGAGAUGCUGCAGCAACAACCGUUGCACGUCGAUCCUAUCCUCCACCCCGUUGUCGAAGGAGCGAUCGGGACAUGGGCUGAUUGAUGAGACAAGAGGAUCAUGGAGAGAGAUAGCGAGAAGAAUGACAUCACACGUCAUGGAGAAAGCUGUGGCACGGCUCGGUGGACUUGGCAGCGUAAGCCGACAAGGAGACGGUAGUGAGUGGCGCAGGUACCGAAAUGUGCCCUAGGGAGGAGCAUUUCGGUUAGGGAGAUGAGGCAGCGUGAUGCAAGCACAGCCUCCUUCGU